GACGAACGCUGGCGGCGUGCUUAACACAUGCAAGUCGAACGGAAAGGCCCCUUUGGGGGUACUCUUGUGGCGAACGGGUGUGUAACACGUGUGUAACCUUCCCUUGUCUUCGGGAUAACUUCAGGAAACUGGGGCUAAUACCGGCUUGGGAUCCUUGCUGCAUGGUGGGGGUUGGAAAGCUUCAGCGGUUUUGGAUGGACUCACGUCUUAUCAGCUUGUUGGUGGGGUAGUGGCUUACCAAGGCUUUGACGGGUAGCCGGACUGAGAGGGCGACCGGCCACACUGAGACUGAGAGAAGGCCCAGACUCCUAAGGGAGGCAGAAGUGGGGAAGAUUGAACAAGCGGCGGAAGCCUGAUGCAGAAAGGCCGCGGGCGGGAUGACGGCCUUCGGGUUGUAAACCGCUAGCAGCAGGGGCGAAGCUUGUGGUGACGGUACCUGCAGAAGAAGCACCGGCUAACUACGUG
rnacentral:rRNA from 1 species